rnacentral:rRNA from 1 species
CCUACGGGUGGCAGCAGUGAGGAAUAUUGGUCAAUGGGCGCAAGCCUGAACCAGCCAAGUCGCGUGAGGGAAGACGGCCCUACGGGUUGUAAACCUCUUUUGCCGGGGAGCAAGCCUGAGCACGUGUGCCCAGGCGGAGAGUACCCGGAGAAAAAGCAUCGGCUAACUCCGUGCCAGCAGCCGCGGUAAUACGUAGGUGGCAAGCGUUGUCCGGAUUUACUGGGUGUAAGGGGCGUGUAGCCGGGCUGACAAGUCAGAUGUGAAAUCCGGGGGCUCAACCCCCGAACUGCAUUUGAAACUGUUGGUCUUGAGUAUCGGAGAGGCAGGCGGAAUUCCUAGUGUAGCGGUGAAAUGCGUAGAUAUUAGGAGGAACACCAGUGGCGAAGGCGGCCUGCUGGACGACAACUGACGGUGAGGCGCGAAAGCGUGGGGAGCAAACAGGAUUAGAUACCCUUGUAGUC